UAGAGAGAACCAAUUUGGUUCUCUUUAUUUUUUUAGAUGUGCUGCCUCAUCAAAAAGAAGUUAGGACAAAUAGCUGUCAACAAUUGUCUUUUGCUUAUCUCUUCAGUUGCUGUGAUAAAAGAUGGUAGUUGCCAUUGACAAAGCAUUGAUAAAGUAGUAAAAUUAA
rfam:Streptococcus dysgalactiae subsp. equisimilis RE378 DNA, complete genome.